rnacentral:rRNA from 1 species
UACGUAGGAUGCAAGCGUUGUCCGGAAUUAUUGGGCGUAAAGAGCGCGCAGGCGGUAUGACAAGUCAGAUGUGAAAGAGGCCGGCUUAACCGGCAAGGGUCAUUUGAAACUGUCAGACUAGAGUGCAGCAGAGGAUAGUGGAAUUCCCGGUGUAGUGGUGAAAUGCGUAGAUAUCGGGAAGAACACCCGUGGCGAAGGCGGCUCUCUGGGACGGUACUGACGCUGAGACGCGAAAGCGUGGGGAGCGAACAGG